rnacentral:tRNA from 1 species
GCCCGGAUGGCUCAGUCGGUCAAGUGUCCGACUUCGGCUCGGGUCAUGAUCUCACGGUUUGUGGGUUCGAGCCCCGCAUCGGGCU